UCAGAUACUCGUAUUACAUUUUUAUUAUUAUUAAAUCAAUAAGUAAAUAAUUAAAAGAAAAUAGUAGAUAAAUAAUAGUACAACAGACUAAUAUACUUACUUUUUAUAAUUAUUUUAAUUAAUAAUCAAGCAAAAAUAAAAUAAUACGUAAAAAUGUAAUUAGUUUAUACUUAGAAAAAAUAUUCACCUAAAAUUAUGUAAAUCAUGCCACUAUAAAGAUUUAUUUUGUUACAGAAUAUGACAUUAAGACUGGGAAAUCAAAAUAAAUAGAAAUCCAUUGACUGUACAUUCACGCUUGAAUUAAAAAAAUUUACCUACAUACGUUUUUACAAUACGUACCUACCUAUAUACAAUUUAUACAUUUGUACAAACGUGUUAAAAAUGUAUGCCACAUCGGAAAAUUCCCAAUUUUUUAUGACUAGGGAAGAAAAAAUGUUUCCUCAAAUCCACGCACGUGAAAAACAACCUUUUCAAAUGCAAGAGAAUUGCUUGCAAUGCAGUAAAUAUUUGCAUUUAAAAAUUUGCUAAAAUAUUUUUUUUAUGUAGAUAGAACUGGAGACUUCUACUAUCCAAUUCGUAUAAAAAAUUGAAUUUUACGGGUAAACUGAUGAUUUUAGAAAUUGUCAUAUAAAAUCGUGUGAAUUGUAUACUAUAAACAUUUGAAUUUGAUGUGGGAGUGAUGAGAGGAAUAUAAUAUAUAAAAUUUGUAUUAUACCACAUCACAAUAAUCUGCUAUAUAUCCUUCUGUGUACAGCCCAAAACAUGCAUUAUAUCUUAGGCUUGCAUUUAUAAAUAAUACAUAAAUCUACAGUGUAAAUCAACGUAGGUAACUCACAUACAUAGAAAAUGACUUACCUACUACCAAUAACCGCUCUCAAACAUUUCAUCUUGUCUUAAUUACAUCCAAACUAUUACAUUAAAAAAAUGAACCCUCAGUGACUAGUUUUCUUUCUUUACAAGAGCUAGUGGUGUAUAGUACCUAAUUAUACAUAUCUUUCCCUCAUGUCCAUCAAAAAUACAUGUUAAAAUUUUCUUUUUCCAAAUACCACAUUUUUUUUAAUAUUAUAUAAUAUGACAACUAUUUUAUACUUCCUCAAAAAAUCUAACCGUGGUCCGUGAGUGUAAGCCUCGCUGGUUUAUUAUAUUUAAAUAGGUAUAUAAUAAAAUUGUAUAUGUAAUACAUCGAUUUUAAAAAAAAUGCAGUUAUUUAAAUAAAAAGUAUUUUUUUUAUGACUGAAUAAACGUAUUAUUAAUAUAACUAUAGAUAAAAUUAUUAAACUAAAAUAAUAAUUUAGUGUAACGAGAAAAAUUCGUUUUCUUUACCAUUAGUAUCGCUGUUAUCUGGUUUGAUUGUAAUUAUUACGAUGGGCUCCAGCAUAAAAUCUCGAAGAAUCUCUGUUUUAUUAUCCUUAUUGUCUUGUAUCGUCUCUGUGUGUCAGAUGCACUUCUUCUAAUUAGACUUGGUGAUUGAAUCCAGUGCUUCGUUGAUUGAACAUUUAUCGAUAUCCACCAUUUUAAAUAUUCUAUAUUUUUCUUGGAAAUCUGUCCCUUAAGCUAAGCCCAUAUCAAUUCUAUAGAAUUAUAUUAAUAAUGACAUGGAGGUAAAGCAAAAAACUUCAUGUCUCAUUCACAAAGAAAAUUCAUCAAUAUCGUAUUUUUUCUCAAACAGCGUUACUACUUUACCACUUUGUUUGAGUUCUGCUAAAGACUCAACCGUGGAAAAAUCCAUAGUGACAGUUUAUGAAAUAAUGAAAACCUCUGGGAGUGAAUCAACCUUUAGAAGCGCUGCAGUCAUCCGCCACUUUUCAUGAAACCAACUAUAGUUAUCGGACACUUCUCCGUAAUGUGGUAAUAGGAGGGGUAGAUUAUAUUCAGGGAGUCUCGCGAGCAUUUACUGUACUUUAAAUAGUGGCUGGAGUAAUGAAAGCUCCAUUACCGUACCACUUUAAAUCAGCCAACUCUCGUGGGACACCCUGCGUCAUCACAUACACAUUAUAGGAUAUGACGUGCGGUGCUGCUGGAAACUCAUGGCUAAGCGGAUAGUAGGUUGGCGGAAACCGGGAGGGUUUAAUGAUAAUAAUUACUAUCCUCGUAGAGGAAAACCCGUCGUGGCAAAUAAAAGUAUACAAAAAAAACCUUGCAUUGUUUUAGCACUAA